ensembl:lncRNA
AUGGGAACCCCGACUUGGCCAAUCAGAAUUCGAAUUCCCUUCGCCCCGAUUGAUUGGGCCAGAAGUUGGCACAUGACGGAAUCCCAGCCAAUAAACGGCCAAGUUCCUUGGAGCGCCGAAAGCUGCGCAGGCGCGCUUUUGCGCAGUGGAGCUGUAGUUUCCUGUCGAGCCCGUGUGGCCGCGGAGCUGGUGUUGCACAAGGAGACCUUGCCAGGGGAGAGACACCAGGCAGCCGGAGACCACGCAGUCCCACGGAGGACGCUGUAUUCAGAUCCAUGGUGUUGCCCCAAGCCAGUUUUAUGUGAAUCCUUUCAGAUCUUGUAAAUACAAGAUGUAUUUACAUUCAUUUAUAUAUAUAUAUAUAUAUAUACAAAUAUACAUAUAUGUUUUAAAAAUGGUAAGUAUGAAUUUUUAGUACAUUACUACAAUAUUUCUUAGCUGUCUUUCCCUUUCCUUAAAUAUAGAUCUGAUUCUUUUCCUUUUUAGCUGUACAGUAAUUCAUACUAUGAAACUACCAAAAUACAUAGAAAUAACUUCUUAUUGUUGGAUAUUUAGAUUGUUUCCAGUUAUCCACUAUAAUAAGCAAUGCUUGCAGUAAGUAUUCUAAUAUAGUUAUGCACACAUAUUUAUAUGUAUGGAGGGUAGAUUUCUAGAAAUGGAAUAGUUCAUCUUAAUAGUUAUUAUUACAUUGUUAUUUUAAAAAGCUCUUCCAACUUGCAUACCAAAUUGAGGGCACUUUUCUGGACCUUGAAGAAGAAUUCUAUGUGAAGUCAUGGAUUCAGGUGUUAGUUGAACAUGAAAUAGUUCUAAGUAGCCCUGCCUAUUUUUCUUUCUUUCUUUUUUUUUUGGGGGGGGGGCAAUGAUUCCUUGACCUGUGCAAUUGGUUCAAACUUAGACCAAAUUAAAUCUGACUUAUGUAGAAACUUGGUCUCCAUGACCUUGUGUUUCUCUGGUAAGUGAUUUCUUGGUGUAGGCUGUAGUCUAGCUAUAAGUGACCCUGAUGGGGGAACAUUUUUAUCCCACGAUCUAUAGGAGCUGAAUCAGGCUUACUGGGAUUAACUGGGACUGAGGGACUCGUUCAUCUACUUUAAUUAUCCUCCCAAUGAGAGCUUUUUCCCAGACUGGAUUUUGGAUCAGAAGAAGAAUGGAGGCUGGAGGGAAUCAUUGAACAACUCAGUUAAAGAUAUUACAGAAAAGGCGCUCAGAAUGGAAAGCUCUCACCUAAUGCAGGUAGAUAAGAUUUCAUUUAUUUCUUUUCUAAACAAAACAGAACUAAACCAAACAGUUGUAUUUUGUGAACUUUCAGUGAUUUGGCUCAUUGAUGAAAUUAUUUUUCUGAGGAAUCGCAUCAAACAACAGAAAGGAAUGGCUUUCCUGGGUCUGAAACAACCCAGGCUUUCCUGUACUGAAACUUGUACCCUUACAGCAAAGUUAACAAAAGGAUGAAAGCUGGGAAAAUUGAAGGACUCAGAUUGCUGAAGACAAAGGCUGGACAAAAUGGCCAUGCUGCCAUCAUUGUGUUCUCUGCUCCCCUCUAGUGGUCACACGAGAGAUUUAGGUAUAAAUAUGUCUCAAGGUCAUCUUUACAUAGCUAAAUUGUAGAAGAGUAAAAGGUGGCAUCAGGUGUACCUUGAAGCUGCCUAUCUUUUCAGUAACCUGCAUAGUGGUGGGGGAACAAAUGCUCUUUCAGAGAAACUGGAGAACAGCCAAACUGCAACAACAUGGGGCUAAUAGAAAAAAUGAUUGGAAGCACGACAGCUUUCCCAUAAUUCAGUGCAACUCAUAUUCACCAACUGCCAUCUUUUGUGUCAGCAUUGGAGAUACAUGGAGGAAUUAUUUUUUAAAAAAUUUAUUUUUGUUUACUUGAAAGGGAGGGGGAGAGAGAGAGGGAGAGAGAGAAAGAGAGAGAUCAAUCUUCCAUCCUCUGGGUCACUCCCCAAAUUGCUGCAAUGGCUAGGACUGGGUCAGGCUGAAGCCAGAAGCCAGAAGCUUCUUCCGGGUCUCCCACGUGGGUGCGGGGGCCCAAGGACACAGGCCGUAUCCCACUGCUUUUCCAGGCACAUCAGCAGGGAGCGGGAUUGAAAGUGGAGCAGCUGGGGCUUGAACUGGUGCCCAUAUGGGAUGCUGGCAUAGCAGGCAGUAGUUUUACCCGCUGCUUUUAGAUGCAGCCACACAGGAAGGAAUUAAAUACAAGCCUGCCUUUGGGGGAGGUAGCAAUAUGGGGGGUGGAGCCCACUUGAACAAUGCACUACUGAAUAGAAAAGACAUACAAGAGGCAUUUGAUGAGACGUUUGUUCUUGAUAAUAAUUCUGAAGUAAGAAUGGGAUUCCUCACUGAGCAUUUUCAUUUGUUCCAAAAUAGAAAAACAUUUUCUUGUUAUGGGUAAGAGUCAACAGUACAAGGAGUGGAUAAAGUUUUCUUUUCUUCCCUCUCUUUUGUAAAACACUGGAAUUUCGGCUGCUGAGAUGGCACAGCUAUGACAGCUCAAAGUUUCAGCCGUGGUUUGAAGAUGAAAGCUAAAUCAUGUACAUGUGUUCUUUAUUCCUCUGCAAAAUAAAUUCCUCUGUGAACUACA